GCUCCACGCAGUUCAACAAGGGCCCCUCCUACAGGCUCUUGGCGGACGUCCAGAACCGGCUCCUGUCCAUAUAUGACUCGCAGAAGGAGGUAGAGCUCCGCAGCUGGAUCUAGGGACUCACCGGCCUCUCCAUCGGCCCAGUGAGUCCCGACUUCCAGAAGGGCCUGAAGGACGGGAUUAUCUUAUGCACACUCAUGAACAAACUGCAGCCGGGCUCAGUCCCCAAAAUCAACCGCUUCAGCAGAACUGGUACCAGCUAGAAACCCUCUCCAACCUCCUCAAGUCCAUGGUCAGCUACAGCAUGAACCCCGUGGACCUAUUUGAGACUAACGACCUGUUUUAGAGUGGGAACGUGAGGCAGGUGCAGGUGUCUCUUCUCGCCCUGGCAGGGAAGGCCAAGACUAAGGGGCUGCAGAGCGAGGUGGACAUCCGUGAGGAGUACUCAGAGAAGCAGGAGGGGAACUUCGACGACGCCACCAUGAAGGCUGGCCAGUGCGUCAUCGGGCUGCAGAUUACCAACAAACGCGCCAGCCAGUCAGGCACGACUGUGUACGGCAGAGCACGAGGAGGCAUCUCUACGAUCCCAAGAACAACAUCCUGCCCCCCAUGGACCACUCGACCAUCAGCCUCCAGAUGGGUACAAGCAAGUGCGCCAGCCAGGUGGGCAUGGCGGCUCCCAGGACCCGGUGGCACAUCUACGACACGAAGC
rnacentral:lncRNA from 1 species